rnacentral:rRNA from 1 species
GACAGAGGUCCCGAGCGUUAGGCGGAAUCACUGGGCUUAAAGCGUGUGUAGGCGGAUGCCUAAGUACCUUGUGAAAUCCCACGGCUCAACCGUGGAACUGCUUGGUAUACUGGGUGUCUUGAGCCACCUAGGGGCUACCGGAACAAAUGGUGGAGCGGUGAAAUGCGUAGAUAUCAUUUGGAACGCCAAUGGUGAAAACAGGUAGCUGGGAGUGUGCUGACGCUGAGACACGAAAGCCAGGGGAGCGAACGGG